UGCGCAGGCGGAGUGAUAAGUCAGAGGUGAAAUCCCACGGCUCAACCGUGGAACUGCCUUUGAUACUGCCAUUCUUGAGUACAGUUGAAGUGGGCGGAAUGUGUCAUGUAGCGGUGAAAUGCAUAGAUAUGACACAGAACACCGAUAGCGAAGGCAGCUCACUAAGCUGUAACUGACGCUCAGGCACGAAAGCGUGGGGAGCAAACAGGAUUAGAUACCCUGGUAGUCC
rnacentral:rRNA from 1 species